UUAUAUACAACCUCAACUCAUAUGGGACUACCCCCUGAAUUUAAGCAUAUUAAUUAGGGGAGGAAAAGAAACUAACAAGGAUUUUCUUAGUAGCGGCGAGCAAACAGAAAACAGUUCAGCACUAAGUCACUUUGUCUAUAUGGCAAAUGUGAGAUGCAGUGUAUGGAGCGUCAAUAUUCUAGUAUGAGAAAUUAACGAUUUAAGUCCUUCUUAAAUGAGGCCAUUUACCCAUAGAGGGUGCCAGGCCCGUAUAACGUUAAUGAUUACUAGAUGAUGUUUCCAAAGAGUCAUGUUGCUUGAUAGUGCAGCACUUAGUGGGUGGUAAACUCCAUCUAAAACUAAAUAUAACCAUGAGACCGAUAGUAAACAAGUACCGUGAGGGAAAGUUGAAAAGAACUCUGAAUAGAGAGUUAAACAGUACGUGAAACUGCUUAGAGGUUAAGCCCGAUGAACCUGAAUAUCCGUUAUGGAAAAUUCAUCAUUAAAUUGUAAUAUUAAAAUAAUAUUAUGAGAAUAGUGUGCAUUUUUUCCAUAUAAGGACAUUGUAAUCUAUUAGCAUAUCCCAAAUUUAUCAUAAAAUAUAACUUAUAGUUUAUUCCAAUUAAAUUGCUUGCAUUUUAACACAGAAUAAAUGUUAUUAAUUUGAUAAAGUGCUGAUAGAUUUAUAUGAUUACAGUGCGUUAAUUUUUCGGAAUUAUAUAAUG
rnacentral:rRNA from 1 species